AUUCUGUAGCAAUACAGGGUGUGGGCGCGUGGCGAACGGGUGCGUAACACGUGGAUAACCUUCCUUGAGGUGGGGAAUAACCCAGUGAAAAUUGGGCUAAUACCGCAUAACAUCGCGAUGGCACAUGCUGAUGCGAUCAAAGGCGCAAGUCGCCACAAGAGGGAUCCGCGGCCGAUUAGCUUGUUGGCGAGGUAAUGGCUCACCAAGGCAAUGAUCGGUAGCCGGACUGAGAGGUUGGCCGGCCACACUGGAACUGAGACACGGUCCAGACUCCUACGGGAGGCAGCAGUGGGGAAUCUUGCACAAUGGACGAAAGUCUGAUGCAGCAACGCCGCGUGGGGGAUGAAGCUUCUCGGAGUGUAAACCCCUUUCGACCCGGAAGAAUGCCCGCAAGGGUAUGACGGUACGGGUAUAAGAAGCCCCGGCUAACUACGUGCCAGCAGCCGCGGUAAUACGUAGGGGGCCAGCGUUGCUCGGAAUUACUGGGCGUAAAGGGUCCGUAGGCGGUGUAGCAAGUCGAUAGUGAAAUCUCUGGGCUUAACCCAGAGGCUGCUAACGAAACUGCUGUGCUAGAGUGUGAGAGAGGCGAGUGGAAUUACGGGUGUAGCGGUGAAAUGCGUAGAUAUCCGUAGGAACAUCCGAGGCGAAGGCGGCUCGCUGGAUCACAACUGACGCUGAGGGACGAAAGCUAGGGGAGCAAACAGGAUUAGAUACCCUGGUAGUCCUAGCCCUAAACCAUCAGGACUUGGGGUUUGCCCUGUACGGGGCAAGUCCCGUAGCUAACGCGUUAAGUCCUGCGCCUGGGGAGUACGGUCGCAAGGCUGAAACUC
rnacentral:rRNA from 1 species